rnacentral:rRNA from 1 species
GAUGAACGCUGGCGGCGUGCCUAAUACAUGCAAGUCGAGCGAACAGACGAGGAGCUUGCUCCUCUGACGUUAGCGGCGGACGGGUGAGUAACACGUGGAUAACCUACCUAUAAGACUGGGAUAACUUCGGGAAACCGGAGCUAAUACCGGGUAAUAUAUUGAACCGCAUGGUUCAAUAGUGAAAGACGGUUUUGCUGUCACUUAUAGAUGGAUCCGCGCCGCAUUAGCUAGUUGAUAAGGUAACGGCUUACCAAGGCAACGAUGCGUAGCCGACCUGAGAGGGUGAUCGGCCACACGGGAAGUGAGACACGGUCCAGACUCCGACGGGAGGCAGCAGUAGGGAAUCUUCCGCAAUGGGCGAAAGCCUGACGGAGCAACGCCGCGUGAGUGAUGAAGGUCUUCGGAUCGGAAAACUCUGUUAUUAGGGAAGAACAAAUGUGUAAGUAACUAUGCACGUCUUGACGGUACCUAAUCAGAAAGCCACGGCUAACUACGUG